GCCCCGCCCCCGGCCUGGUUCCUCUGGCGAUCGAGACCGCCCCGGGACGCAGGAGGAGGGGCGCGGCGGCUCCGGAAAGUUCAGCUCUGCCCAGGCGAGUGUGCCCGUGGGCCGGAGGAGGGACAGAGGCAGGUCGGCCUGUCUGCCUGGACGCGGAUCUGGGCGCCGUAGGUGCCCCGGGAAGCGCAGGGGUGGGGGGUACCCGGGAGGAAGGUGGCCAGGGCUGCUGCGGGGGCCGGUGGCGGCGGAGGGGACCGUGGGAGGCAAGGGCCGUUCCCCGCGCGGCGCAGAAUGCGCGGGUCCUGCGGCCCUGCCGAAGGAGGAGUCUGGGGACCCAGGCCCCCACGCUGGGAGAGCGCCGGGACCCUGGCCUGAUCCGCUCGGAUGAUCUCCAGGACUUAGGCGAGUGAGCUCAGCGACUGCUGAGGAAUGAAUGAUUGAAGGAAUGAAUGCAUGAAUGGAAGGAGGGAGGGAAAGUGGGCGGGCUCUACCCUCUGGGCCAGCUCUAGCCCUCACCGACCUGGCCUAGCUCCCCUAGCCUUCGAGGGGUCUGAAGGGCGCUGGCGCAGCCUAUUUGCCUAAUACUGGCUCUGAGGAGUCCCCGCCGAGAAACCGAGGCAGCCUUGCGGCCCAGGGCUGGUCAGCCUUGGCAGUGGCGUCUGACCUGGAGUCUGGGGCAGCUGGUCUGGGAGAGGCUGCGCCACGCAACCGAGGGUUGGACCCAGGGCCUCUGCUCCCUUCCCACCGCGCCCAGCCCACCCCGCCCUCCCUCCCUGAUCCCCGCAAGCCAGGUGGGGCCCAGAGGGGACGUGACUCCCUUUCUGCAGAGGCAGCCCCGGAAGGGCCUGGGUGAGGCUGCUGGACAGGGCAGCGGGGCACCCUCCUCCCGGAGCCCACGCUUCUGGUCUGAGGCUCGGAUCCCCACUGCCUCCUGCGCGCGGAGGAGGGGAGAAGCGCCCGGAGACGGGGGCCACAGACGGCACCCCGCAGGCUGCCAUUCCUUCAGCCAAGAUGUAGAGAACGCCGUGGACAAAAGCUUUAAAAAAAUUCUGAAACCUCUGCCCGUGGAAGUCAACAUUUUUGCGGAGCAGAGAGCCCAGGCACAAAAUAAGAAGGCGGAAGAGACGAACUGGGGGGGUAGGGGGACUGCGGCGGGAGGGCAGGUAGUGCGGCGGCGAGGGCGCAGGAAGCCCUGAAGCCGGGCGGCUUCCCCCUCCCAGGUCAAGCUGAGAGAUGGGGGUUGGGGGGGAUUUAAAAUCGCGCGCCUGGCAGGGGCGGGACGGGGGCCACCUGCCCUCCGGCGGGAAGGGCUGGGCAGGGCCCGCGGCGCGCAGGGUGGAGGCCCCAACGGUCAGCACACAGGCGAGGUGGGGCGCGUAAUCCCAUCUGAGUCGGACUCUUUAGGACGAGUCCCGUCCCUGGAGCCAGAGAACCCGGUCCAGCGCCUGCAUGGACGUGCGCUUCCCGGAACGCGCUCAGGGACGCCUGCUAGGACCGGCGAGGCUGGAGGGGUCGCGAUGUUGGGGGCUGAGGUUCCUCUCCCCCGGGCCGGCGGCUGCUGGUAGGGGACCGCAUCGCCCGGCAGUGAGUGGGUGUCUCAUGUCACUGUUGAGACACCCGAGACCCUCGGAGGGAAACCUGUGGGAAGGAGCUGCCAGCCUCCUCCUAGGAACCAGGUGACCCCAGGAUCACGGCUCAGGUGCAUCCCGCCCUGGAAACCCUGUGAGGAGCUCUGUGGGGCCUCGCUCAGAAAGGGGGCCUGGGAAGAAGCAGCUGCCAGCCCAUGGCCCAAGCCUACAGGGGCCACAGGUGUGGCCACUGGAGUGGAGGGAGGUGCCUUUGGUGGAGGAGCCUUGCAACCCUGGGUCUGGCUGCACCUGCCACAUAAGAACCCUGCUGGGGUGCUGUUCUCUCACUGCUGCGUGGAUGCAUGGAGCCUCCGGGAACAGGCAGCAGGGGAGGCCAGGCCAGCAGGACCUGUGGGCGCCACGCCUUGGCAGGUGCCAGGCAACAGGAUCGUGCCAUGGCGGUGACAUGGGAGAAUGCAGGAACCUGAGAGGUGAGAGGGAAUAAGUUUCCAGAACUCACUCUCAGGCAGGAGACAUGACUCAGCUGAGCCAGAAAGCGCUUGUUCCACUCGAAUGCACGUAUGCGCAAGGCACGCCAGAACAGACUCUGUGGCAGUAAGAUAUCAAAUUACAAACAGGCCCUCAGGCCACAGCAGGGAAGGGUCGAGCCACCUACCCUACACUGAGAGGACGGACUCUGCCCUCACGCCACAGCUGCUUUUUCUCCAGCAGCUAAACACACACUGGCCCGGCCAUGAGCAAGAUUCAAAUGACUGCAGCCCAUCCACCCACAGACGCAAACUGACCACGUUCCACAGCCGUGACCACAGCUCUGACUGGGCAGAAGCCUGACUUCAGGAACCUCCUCCUGAUAAGGGACCCCCGACCGUGGACCGGCUCCGGCCGAUUUACAGAGGCUCCGCCUUGAGUGCCUUUGUGUUCCGAGAAGACCUCUGAGGUUUAGGACCUCAUUGCGACACACUGACGUGUUAGACUCCACCCCAGAGUGAACACAGGUCGUAUGUUACAUGCAUGUUUGUUCAGUACGUGUGCAGCAGGACCCCCUUCAUGAAUAACCUGCCGCACAGGUUUAGCCAACCCGGUCAGCACGGAGCUCCUGCCCUGGCCACCCCUCCCCUUCGAAGUGCCUCCUCCUGGCUCCUCUGGUCUUGGCAGAGGCCGUGCUUCCCAGCCUGGGGGACAGGGCCUUGCAGGCUGUGUCCCUUUACAGAAACAAAGUCUCCUGUUCUAAAAGCACAGAUCUUGUGAUUUUCAGUUCAUGGCAUUUGCUCCCCUUCCCAAUGGCUGGGUUUGCAUUCCAGCCACUCCAUGAGAUUCCAGCACCAAGGGAACCUCGACCCCGCCUGGACCCCCAGCAAAGGCUCCAGCCCACAGGUGCUGCCCACUCGUACCAGAUUGUCCACGAACAUCCAGAAGAAGGGUCUGGGGCUGCCUGGCCCGGGCCGCGCGUACUGCAGGAGCCGGUGGAACUGGAACAGCAGCAAUGGAGCCCUGCCCAGUGCCGGGGCCACAGAGGUGCGAGGACCCCUCCUCCCCCAGGCAGGCCCAGAGUUGGGAAGAGACAGGCAACUCCGAGGGAGGCGCGGACGCAGAGCGCGUGCCGUGGCACAAAUACCGCCUUUUAGAGGAAGCUCCAGAGGAUACGACAGACAGGCGUGGGCACCGAGAGGCAGCAGCAGUGGGCAAGGUCGCGUACGGUAGCACGAGAUGUCCCCAGGGCCGACCCUGCUCAGCUCGCAGGGCCCACAGGCCAGGGCAAGCUGAGAUGUGGAGCCCACUAGGGCAGAGCCAUCCCCAGCCACCACCAGCCUCAGGGGCUGCCUGCCUGGAGCCCAGAGGAGAACGCUCCGAAUCUGAGGUGAAGACUCUGUGCCACGUGUUUGGGGACUGAACUCUGCCUUUAUCUUUUCUUGCUCAAAUUCCUUUCUAAGGAGCGUGGGGGAAUCACGGCUUACAAACCACAAAAGCUUGUGGAAUGGGUGUUUUUGAGCCGGUAUAUUAUGGCUCUGCCAUGGCGUCACACGACAGACAGCAGACCUUAUUUUAACUCAAGCAUUCCUUUCUCCUGACUCCGAGUUUUCAGGCAAAGCUUAACUCUUUCAUCCAACUGCCAACUAAAGAAUCCCUAAUGUAAGCUGCAAAAUAUCCCGCCUUUUGGGGCUGAACCAAUGCACACCUAUGUAUUGAUUGAUUGAUUGAUUGAAUUUUUUGAGAUGGGGUCUCACUCUGUCACCCAGGCUGUAGUGCAAUGGUGAG